GGGCCCAUGGUCUAGCGGUUAUGACAACGCCCUUACACGGCGUAGAUCACCGGUUCAAAUCCGGUUGGGCCCACCA
rnacentral:tRNA from 1 species